rnacentral:lncRNA from 1 species
CCUUCUAGAUGUUCCAAACUGAUUAAGAGCUCUCUCAGCCCUGACAGACAUUUAUUGAUAUUUGAGGACUCUCUCUCAGUGAAAAAGCAUCCUCUGUGUCCUCCCUGCUUUCUACAGGUUGUCAGUCUCAGGACAGUCAUUUCUUGGAGAUUUCUCUUACUGGGUAAUGAAGCAAAUGGUGCCUGUCCCUGAAUUGGGAAGUAAACAUGCAUGAUACAGAGAGUGGACACACAGAAGGAUAUCCAAAGUGACAUCUUCCUUGGCUGCAAGUCAGGCAUCCUAUCUGAAAAGUGCUUGGCCAGGCAAGAACAUUUUUUUCUGAGGCAACCCUUGCAGAAACUAACAGGAGUCUGCUCUGCUAUGAAUUAUGGAGAAGGGAAGUCACUCUUUAUUCCUAUUUGGAAAGCUGUUCUUUGAAAAUGGGAAGCCUACUGAUUUUAAUUUCAAACAUAUUCUUCUACAUGUGGGAAGAAUCAGCAUCUUAGACUUCUAAAUUUCUACAGAUUGCAGGUGCUAACAGUAAAAUUAAGUGGUAAGGUAUCCACUGGAAGAAUGGUACACAGUAUUUUCCUGGAAGUGAGCUUCAAAUGAAUAGGAAAAAUAUGUUUCAGACCAAAUUUAGAUCAAGACUUCUGAAGUUAAUUUUUCUAAUGAUA